GGUCAAGAAUCUAUGUGGAACAUAGAUUUCCACAAAGCAGCAAAGGGGAGUCGGCAAAUAGAAUCUGUACCACUAACUGCAGAAGCACGGCAUGUGAGCGACGAGGAGAAAACAUUUU
rnacentral:rRNA from 1 species